AGAAGAUGAAGAGGAGUUACAGCAUAGUUAUCAGCCUGAGGAGUUUCAGCUGGAAGAGUCACAGAUCAGGAAAAGCACCAUUUCCAUCAACAGGAAAGAGGUUUAAGGCAUGAACACCUAACACCUACCAGAAUCACAGCUACUUUUAAGUCCUGAGAUGGUUGCAGUCUGAUCUCAAGACUUUGUACCUGCCUGGACACAUGCUGAUCACAUAAAGCAUUUGUGACAACCCCAAAGUGGCAGGAGUAAUGUCCACUGAAGUGAACGUCCUUUUAUUUAAGAGAGAAUAUGAGUUUUCAAUUGAUUUUUUUUCCACUUUGUCAUCCAACCAAACCAAUGACUGAAACUUAUUUCCUUCCUAAACUUCUCUAGAACUGAACUGUUUAGGGAUUAUGAAUGAAGUUGGCAGAAAUAAAGAACAAAAUGAAACAUGCA